rnacentral:rRNA from 1 species
UACGGAGGGUGCAAGCGUUGUCCGGAAUCACUGGGCGUAAAGGGCGCGUAGGCGGCUCAUGAAGGCUGUGGUGAAAGUCCGGGGCUCAACCUCGGAUCGGCCGUGGCGACUCGUGGGCUGGAGCACUGUAGAGGCGGGUGGAAUUCCGGGUGUAGCGGUGGAAUGCGUAGAGAUCCGGAAGAACACCAGUGGCGAAGGCGGCCCGCUGGGCAGUGGCUGACGCUGAGGCACGAAAGCGUGGGUAGCAAACAGG